UUCUCCUUAGCUCAGUUGGCUAGAGCGUUCGACUGUUACAUCUUACUCCCACCCUCCGAAGGGGUGAGAGGGGAACGACAUCGAGAGGUCCACAGUUCAAGCCUGUGAGGGGAAG
rnacentral:tRNA from 1 species